rnacentral:lncRNA from 1 species
CUGUACAAGCAAACAAUGAUUGAGUAAUAUUAGAAAAAAUAAAUUUGCUAAUUGGUAAAUAGAGGGAAGACGGGGGUAAUUACGGAAAGUAACGUUGAGAACGAGGAGAGAGAAGGUAUCUUUGAUGUCCGGAGGGCCUGUUCUUCCGAAGUGAGACAUCGCCGUUCGCCGGAGUGAAUGACUGAUAAUAAGGGUGGAUGGUGUUAGGGUUUGGAGCUAUAGGUUAUGGACGCGGGUUGGAAGAAGAUUAUGUCGAUCUGUUUGUACCAAAUUGGCCUUGACUUGUUUGCUUAAUUUCAGUUUAUGCCACAUAUAUGGAGAUAAUGACAAGAAUAGUCCCUAAUGUUUUGGGAUUCAUAUAAAUUGGUCUUAAUACUAUAACCACAAGCAGGUUCGGUUCCUUAACUUUACCAAAAUAGAACAAUUUUAGUCUGCUAUAUUUACAACAUAUGGAGAUAGUCAUUUUUUACGGAGUUGAUCUAUAAAAAGUAUGUAAACCGUUUAAGUUGAAGAAACCAUUGGGACGAUUUUCUCAAGAUUCAUCUCUUAAUUCACACCUUAAGAAAAAUAUAACUUCCAAGAUCUCAAAAACAAAAGUGUUACUUAAUUCAAAGACAUAAACAUUAAUUGAUUCACUAUUUCAUAUAAUGGACGGUAAAAGGAAGCAUAUGGAUGGGUUCAAUUAUAAUGAAUAGGGCUUUUUCCUUGAGAUAUGAAUGGGGGGAAAUGGAUUUGGAAAUGUGUAUCUCAAUUGUUCCUUUAGUUUAAAAGAUUCGUAAAUUCUUAACAAGUAAAGCUGCUUCGUAUUGCAUGGUCAAAUUCGACCAACUAUGUGGAUUAUACUUUUUAUUAUACGUAAAAUCAUGGAAGAACUACACAUCGAUUAUCAUUUGGACCCUUUGGGAGUUGUAUCUACCACUAACCAUUCUAAUUUUGAGGUCCAACGGGCAGUUGCCAGGCAUCUUAAGGGAUAUUAACGGAAAAUCUGCCAAAUGACAUGCCUGUCAACCUAGAAACAUGUCUUUGGAAUACGAGUGUGGCGCUGGAAUUUGGAGGGCAACACUUCUGUGCAUUAGUUUUGAAGGGGAAAAUCAGCAUGCGCUGUGCAGAACAAAUAGCGGUUCUUGAGUACUUCAAACUGUCCGCAAAUCCUGAUACAUUAUCUAAAUACUUGCAGGUGCUUACACCCAACCAGGGUUAUAUAAUCAUUAGAUAAUGUCAAAUAACCAUAGAUAAGUGAUUUCAGUGAAGAGAUAUGCACUACUGGUUUUCUGGAAUCACCAAAUGUGACCAAAUAUUUAGUGACAAUUCUGUUCGGGGAAUUCUCUAUCAUCAUCCGAUCACAAUAUGUUUUAAAAGGACUUUAUAAAGAAUAAUAAAUGUCAACUCUCCAUGUCGUGGAAAGCUGACAGAAGCCUUGCCAGGAUUCUCCGUUGGUUCGUCAAUACAGAAUGAAAUUGAAGGAUUUUUCUUCAUAGAGCAACGUGGAACUUUUAUCAACGGCAACAGGAAGGCAAAUAUAUAUAUGACAUGGCCAUCAACAACUUUGCUUUUGAACUUCUUAUUAUUGCCUUAUUAACCAAACAUAAAGAGCCAACCCUGCGAAGUAAAGCGUAACAGGAAAAAACAGAUACUCCCUAAGCAGUAUCUUGUUACCUUCCCAAACUCCCUCAUCAAGCUAGUCAAAUCCAUAGCCAUCUAGCAGAGUACUUGUCCAAUAUGGUAAGCACAUACAAUUCGGAAGCCCUAUGGAAGAGCACAAAUUCCUAGGAGAGAGUACCUUAACACAGUAAUUUACCCCACUACAUCAGUACCAGAGUUCUAAAACACCACCAUAUUGAAACCCUAAACUAGAAAGGGUUAUCACACUGGACUAUAGUAAUGUAAUAACCUAGCCGCUAUCUCAUACCUCACCUAAAAGGAGAUCAAACGCCCCAAUUCCACCUCUAAAUGCCAUGAUAAUAAGAAAGGUGAGAUACAUGAAUCAAGCCACUAGCAGACGGAGUAAAAGAAGGUUAAGUUUUGAUAGAUUAACAUUCUCACAGGAAACUGUCAGAUCUCCAAGUCGGCAAUGUGCACAUGUUCCACUGAAAAAUAACCAAUAAGAGACGCAGAUAGUGCAUAUCUGAAGUGACUCAGCACAACAUAAACACACAACUUAGCUCCUGCAGAAGGUGGAUGAACAAUAUGCAGAGGGUCCAACUGUACACAUCAAGCAGACCAUCAACUCCAAAAAAACAGCAUCAGUUUGCUAGGCUAUCAACUAACAGCAACAAAAGAUCUACACAGAUCAGCUAGAAUCACGGGUGUAAGCAUGAACUCGCACUGUAACAUAGUGCAACUAUCAUUAGCUUAACUAUAGGUGCUAUACUAUGUACCUGAAGAACAUUCAACACCAUAAAGCAAAUAAAGAUACUAGAACCUAGUAUUAACAGAUUGCGUGAUUCAUUAUUCAUUUAUUUUGAUAAGGGUAAAAAAUGAGAAAUCAAAUCCGUGCAAUGUUUAAGAUCACACAAUCACUACAUCUGAACUCAUUCAUUUGGUCACAUAUUGAAAUUUCUACUCGGCAUAACAAAAUAUCAACCUGGAAUCAACUUCAAUAGCUACACUUGAACAUGUGGAUUUCUUUCAUAUAAAGAAAGAUAAAAAAAUGACUGGCAGGCCAAAGGCAUAAACCUAGCAUGACUUCAGUUAUUCAGGAGUUUUGAUCCUUACCGAUCAUGAGCAUCCUGAACAUUUGUAUAGAAAUGGUAUUUUGUCACCAGCAACAAAUUACAACAGCAAAGCUAAAACAGCAUCAACAGCUGCUGCAUAUGCUUGCCAUUCAACCAACAAACAGUAGUAUGUCACCAGCAACAAAUUAUAAUCAGCCAAGAUAAAACAGCAUCUACAGCUGCAGCAUCUCCUUGCCAUUCAGCGAAGAAAUGGUAGUUUGUGACCAGCAACAAAAUUACAACCAACAGCAAAUAUAACAGCAUCAACAGCUGCUGUAUCAUCUUGCAAUUCAGCCACAUUGAUUUUUCACGGACCCAGCUAUAGAAGGCCAAUAAUUUCCAUCAUAAGUAAAUUACAACAAGGUAUACUAUCACAAUAUUCCAUGCAAGUAUACUAUGAAUAAGAAAAGAGGAAAUAAGAAAUCAAAUAAAGCCAAAACCAGAGCAGUAAUUAUAAACCAACAGUAGAUAUCUUAAUAUCACAAUACCAAUCCAUAAUACCAGAAUGCAGAGGUAACAUCAAAGUUCUGGCAUGGAUCAAGUACAACAAAAAGGAGUUAAACCUUAUAAAUAAGACGGGCCAAUCAGUUCUAGCAAGCAGAAAAUAGAUGAAAGGAUCCUUCAUUUGGGAAUGUACUCUUGAUACGCAACAUCGACCAGAACCAGAUUACAUUCAUGGCCUUCUCUUUUGCUCCUUAAUCCUACAAAAGCAAAUAAUGCUUUUUCAUCACAUUUAUACUGUAAUAAAACAAUGUAUGACAGGCACAACUCACAUCAGCAUCAGAAUGCGGCAAGGGGCUGCGAGAACCACCACGUCUACCCCGCGGUGAGACACUCUUUGGAGUUGGAGACCAGUCCUUGUGAUUACGUCCAGCUGGACUAGCAUCCCUAGAAGGGGUUGUUCUACGUGGAGAAGGGCUCCUCCGAGGACUGAGGCUACGGCGAGCAGGGGACACACUUAACGUAAAAUGACAUGUUAGACAACACUUAUGAUAAUAGUUUCGGGGGAUGGGGAAGAAGAGGCAAAACACGUAUAGAAAAUUUUCUACCUUCUAUGAGACCGGCUUCGGCUGCGCCUCUCCUCAUCAUAUUUACCUCUCUCGCGAUCUUUGCGGUAAUCAGGGCUGCGGCUUCUGCUCUUAUGACGGUAAUCCUUGUCUCUCCCACGGUACCUAUCAUGUUCAUACCUGUCCCUACUUCUACUUCGGCUUCUCCUUUUAGAAUCCUUUUCCCUAUAACGAUCACGAUGCCUAAGAUAGAAAAAAAAUAAAAGAAGGCGAUCUUCAGAUUGUGGAUACAACUCUUCAACAGCUCAAAGCAAAAUGUCAAUUAUUUAACUCAAGUAUCACAUUAAAGGGGAAGCAAUAUUAUUUGAACACUUCCACCUUGUUUUGGAGAGAAAAUGUGUGAUAGCAGAAGAAUAUCAACGAUGGGAGGUCAAAGAAGAGUUAAGAGAGUAUUCAUUUUAACACCAGUAUCCAUUCUAAUACCCAAAUAUGUUCCACAGAAGCUCAAAUUAGCCAUGCCUUGAUGGGAUCACCACAUUCGACACCAUAAUAGGUUUUGAAAUUAUAGUAUCCAGCCAGCUAGUAGUUGAUGAUACCAGGCAUCAGGAUCUAAUCAAAAUGAGACAUGGUUUCAAGAUGGAAAUGUUUUCUACAUUGAAAAUAAAAACAUUAAUGGCAGAAAGCAAGUAAAAUAAUGACACUAUUCAUUAUCAUGAACAUUAAUGGCAGGAAGUAAGAUAACAAUGUUACUAAUUUCCAUACUUCCCCCUCUCAGCUUAACAUAUUGAGAUGGUUGCUACAUACUGCAAAGAGCAAUUGAAAGCAUGAAGGCCAAGUAAAGUCAUUAUCAACUCAAUCAAUCAACUAAAAUUCGAUCAACUCAGUAAGAGGGAAAAAUAUUAACCAAAAAACGAAAGCUUAACAAAACAGCCAAUUUAUUAAGAAGGGCAAGUUCCAUGUACAAAAGCUGAGGAGGGAGAAUAAUUUUACUUAAAAUUCAGAAAACUGUCUCCGAGAAAAAAAAGAACUUCUAAAAGAUCCAACUAGUCAGGUUUGUCAACUGAAAAAUCUAUGGAAACGUAAGCUAAGCAUCACCAUUUCCCUACUCCAGAUCAUCUACAUUUUAUUUAGGCCGGAAAGGGCAGGGAAUUUCAAGAAAACCAAUUCAAUGGCAUUUUUCACAUGCUUUGAUUGCAAAAGGAUCAUGAGACUCAAAAUAGCAUCUCUCAAACAGGCAGUAGAAUUUUCAACUAGUAAAUCUUGCAGCAUGAUUCUGAAGGAUCGUUCUAAACCUCCACAUUCUAGUUACACGAAGAAAAAUUCUGAUAAUGCUUUUGACAUCAAAAUCAGUUAGAAACCAAAAUUUGUAAAUCUGAGCAUAUGAAAUUUUCGCCAACAGUAUAAUUUAAUGCAAUUGGGAAAAAUAAAUCUAAAUCUCUGAAUGCAUAAACUAUAUUUAAUUCCACAAAGAGGAGGGUAGGGCCCAAGAAAGAGGAACUUGAAUGUUCAUUUCUAUAUGGCUGGAGAUAUUUGAUAUUCUACCCCUAGUUGAUUAGCACUCGCAGAAAUUAAGUACAAAAAAAAAAAAAACCUUCCUUGUUUCAGUCCAAGUUUGAAAGAGUUGGAAAAAAAAAAGAGAAAAAAGAGUGGAUGGCUAUCAAAACCAUCUACUAACCUCCACUAGUCUUAUACUUAUUUACCAGAUAAGGAAAGGCUCUACUCUUUUGUCUCCCCUCCGCUCACCAGCUCUCUUCUCACCCCAACAAAAGACAGUGUUAACCUGUUUAGUGUUCUUUGAGACCUUUAAGACUUUUUCUCUUGACCAUUGUUAUUAAAAGUCAUUGCUUCAUCGCAAUGACAAGCAAAGGGCUAUCGCUUCAAGGAAGCCGUGUGCUUGAGAGAAGUGUGAGCUUCAAAUAAUGACGCACAAAGUUAUCUAAAAGAAAAGCAGGCAUUUUAUGAAUCUCAACUUGGAGGAGUUGGAUUAAUUUUGGAAAUAGUGCAUAUUUGAUGCUGAAAUUAGUUAUUUUAAUUGUAAUUUGAUUAUUUUUUCCGAGAAAGGUAACAAUGAUUGUAAUUUGAUUUUUACAACAUUAAAUUCAUAUAGGGUUACAGAGGAGAGGGUUUUCUCCGUGCAGUAGAUGUUAUUUUUGCAACUCAGAGGAGGAAACAGCUGAGCAUCUCUUUUUGCAUUGCACAUUUUCAAGACAAUGCUGGGAAUUUUUCUUGAACAUAAUGGGCAUAUCUUUGGUGCUACCUCAGAAGAUUAGUAGCUUGCUGGAAAUGUGGCAAUCCCAGAGAGUAAAAAGAAGCUUAAAGCUGAUAUGGAAAACUAUUCCCAACUGCAUAAUGUGGACAUUAUGGCUGGAGCGAAAUAAAGCAUGCUUUGAGGGAAAGAGACUGCAGAUUGCUAGAGUCAAAAACAAAUGUAUUAAAAAUUUGUAUUUCUGGUGUUAUAGCAGUUCUUUAGAUGAGAUGGACCAGUAUUUGGAUUUUUUGCACUUGUUAGGAGAAAAUAUGUAGUAUGAAUUAAGUAAGAGUUAUAGUCUGGUCCUGUACUGUUCUAUGUACCAUCUUGGUACCAGUUAUAAUAAAAUCUUUACUUAUCAAAAAAAAAACAUUAAAUUCAUAUAUGCCAUUUUCUGCUUUUCCAUAAACUUCGUGCAUCAACGAAAUAAACAAACAAAUUGUGUGCUUCACUUCUCGCUUGUCGCUGCAAGUACCAUUGACUUUGUCACUUCUUUUCGCUUUUAAAAACAUUGCACCUUAGGUAGAAAGAACACAUGAUCACAAACUCCAACGAAAUUUCCUAUAGGAUAUAUUCCCAACAUUUGUAUGACUAAUCAACAAAGCUCAAUGAUUAGGAUCGCAUUAACACAAACAAAUAUAUUCCAAUGGAAAUCUCGAUGUUCGCAACCGGGAUUUCAGUGGAAGAAUUAAAUAAAUUAGCUCUUACCUUGAACUAGGACUGCGGCUUCUUGACCUUCCUCUUGUACUAUGUACAGGCUCCAAAAUUCUACCUUUGUCACUGUUCAUAAAAACAAUCCUAGCCUCCAUUAGCCAUAGUUUUAUUGUCUCAAACAAAUGGUUAUUACAGCUCAAUUUAUAGGAUAAAAAAUGCACCUAAAUAUACAAGAGUGAAAAUCACAACUUUCAACAACGCAAGCUCGCAACUUAAUAAAUAUUUGCAUCAAAUAAAACUUACAUUCUCUCGGCAUUUGGGCCGUACUUUGCAAAUUGAACCAUUAUUUCUCGACCAUCUACAACUCUUCCUGUGGCCAAAUAAUAGUGUGAUCAACAGCAAUAUAAGGCUACCACCCGAAUUGUAAUAUCCAGAAAAAUAUUGGAGGACUAAUAACUUAAUUUAAAUGUUAGAAAUCACUUCAUUUACCAUCGAGCUUUUCCACUGCCUUUUGAGCCUCAUCCUGAUACUUGUAGCGUACAAAUGCAAAACCCCUAGAAUCUCCAGUCCUAAAGCACCAAAUAAAUAACAAGAGUUUAAAAUAUUAAUUUGACUUAUGUAUUAUAUUAAUGAUAGUAAAAUAGAAUUUCGGGAUAAUGUUUGAAAAGUUUGUUUGACAGAGAAUAUAUAAAAUGAAUUUAAAUUCUCAAGUGGCAAAGCAAAUGAAUUUGAACUCAUCAAAGUUGCACAAAUGAAUAGGAUGAUAUUAUUAGUUUAAUGAUGUCAAACAUUUUAGAUCGUCCUAAAAUUAAAGGUAGCUCGUAUUAAUUGAGACUAUUAUGAUAUAACCAAGUAGGAUGGGAAGAAAACAUUUAAUGAAAAAGACAACAAACACAUAACAAAGAUAUCGGUUUGCUCGAUUACCCAAAGAAAAUAGUACAUAUUACAAAGAAAAUGUUAAAGAGAAAAGGUAAGAACCUUCGGUCUCUAGGGAUAAAGACAUCGACGACUUUUCCAUACUUAUCGAAAAGAGGAAACAAGUCAUCAGCAGUGGUACCUGUACAAGCAAACAAUGAUUGAGUAAUAUUAGAAAAAAUAAAUUUGCUAAUUGGUAAAUAGAGGGAAGACGGGGGUAAUUACGGAAAGUAACGUUGAGAACGAGGAGAGAGAAGGUAUCUUUGAUGUCCGGAGGGCCUGUUCUUCCGAAGUGAGACAUCGCCGUUCGCCGGAGUGAAUGACUGAUAAUAAGGUUGAAUGGUUAGGGUUUGAGCUAUAGGUUAUGGAUGCUGCAGGGAGAAGACAGAUGGUGUAUGUUUGGUUCUUUAUACAAAAUUGACCUACUUAUUUGCCAAACUUCAGUUUAUGCCUCCUAUUUGGAGAAAAUGACAAG